rnacentral:misc_RNA from 1 species
AAUUAAAAAAAAAAAAAAACAAACGAUGAGUUAGUGUUUAUAUUUGUCUUUGUAGUGUUGUUAUUGCACUAUUGAAAACAUGAAAGCCAAUACAAUUGGUUAAUGUCAGCACUUCGUCGAUUUGAUGAAGUUUUAGGGGGUAAUAGGCAUGAAUAAACUUUGUUAUUAUAGUUGGGUAUGUAGUGGUAAUGUUCAAUAGAAUUUACAGCUCUCUUCAUUUUGUUUUCUAAUGAAUCUGUUUCUCUGUUUAUGUUGCUAUCAUAUGGGCAUUCUCAUGUGUUCAUUUUCAUGACAGAUUUUUUGUUUUACCCAAAAUAUGGUGUUUUGGUGUGAUAGAUAUAAAAUUUAGGAUAUUCUUGUUCCAAAUCACUUGCUAUAGAGUAAGAAGGACUUCUCAUUGAAUGAUUUUGCAAUGGUGAUGAGUCAUAUCUUAUCUGGGUAUCAUUCUUGUCUUCCCCCAUUUUCAAGAUGGUUACCCAUUCAUUUGUGGUGUUGUAAUUGAGUUGAGGGCACUGUGUUUCUAUAAUUUUUAUAGGUGUCGUGCUUUUGUGUCUGUAUUUUUGCACUACAAUUCUGUUAUUCUUGAAAUGGAAACCGUAUGUUGUUUACUUGCUUUGUAUUUAUGAGGAUAUAUUUUGCGAUGAGAAUUUAGAUGUGUGAUUCCUUGUCAGGUUCACUCUAUUCUCGUGCAUUCGGG